rnacentral:rRNA from 1 species
GACGAACGCUGGCGGCGUGCCUAAUACAUGCAAGUUGAGCGCUGAAGGUUGGUACUUGUACCAACUGGAUGAGCAGCGAACGGGUGAGUAACGCGUGGGGAAUCUGCCUUUGAGCGGGGGACAACAUUUGGAAACGAAUGCUAAUACCGCAUAAAAACUUUAAACACAAGUUUUAAGUUUGAAAGAUGCAAUUGCAUCACUCAAAGAUGAUCCCGCGUUGUAUUAGCUAGUUGGUGAGGUAAAGGCUCACCAAGGCGAUGAUACAUAGCCGACCUGAGAGGGUGAUCGGCCACAUUGUGACUGAGACACGGCCCAAACUCCUACGGGAGGCAGCAGUAGGGAAUCCUCGGCAAUGGACGAAAGUCUGACCGAGCAACGCCGCGUGAGUGAAGAAGGUUUUCGGAUCGUAAAACUCUGUUGGUAGAGAAGAACGUUGGUGAGAGUGGAAAGCUCAUCAAGUGACGGUAACUACCCAGAAAGGGACGGCUAACUACGUG